GGCUCAGAACGAACGCUGGCGGCGUGCCUAACACAUGCAAGUCGAACGGAAUUGAGGGGCUUGCUCCUCAAUUUAGUGGCGCACGGGUGAGUAACGCGUGGAUAAUCUGCCCUGGUGUCCGGGAUAACAUUUCGAAAGGGGUGCUAAUACCGGAUAAGCCCACGAGGUCUUAGGAUCAUGCGGGAAAAGGUGGCCUCUAUUUAUAAGCUACUGUAUCAGGAUGAGUCCGCGUACCAUUAGCUAGUUGGCGGGGUAACGGCCCACCAAGGCGACGAUGGUUAGCUGGUCUGAGAGGAUGAUCAGCCACACUGGAACUGAGACACGGUCCAGACUCCUACGGGAGGCAGCAGUGGGGAAUUUUGCGCAAUGGGGGAAACCCUGACGCAGCAACGCCGCGUGAGUGAUGAAGGCCUUCGGGUCGUAAAGCUCUGUCAGAGGGAAAGAAGUGUAUAGUGGUUAAUACCCAUUAUACUUGACGGUACCCUCAAAGGAAGCACCGGCUAACUCCGUGUCAGCAGCCGCGGUAA
rnacentral:rRNA from 1 species